rnacentral:rRNA from 1 species
ACCGUUAUAACCGGCGAUACCCGAAUGGGGAAACCCAGUGUGAUUCGUCACACUAUCAUUAACUGAAUCCAUAGGUUAAUGAGGCGAACCGGGGGAACUGAAACAUCUAAGUACCCCGAGGAAAAGAUUACGU